AUUGAACGCUGGCGGCAUGCUUUACACAUGCAAGUCGAACGGCAGCGCGGGCUUCGGCCUGGCGGCGAGUGGCGAACGGGUGAGUAAUACAUCGGAACGUGCCCAGUAGUGGGGGAUAGCUCGGCGAAAGCCGGAUUAAUACCGCAUACGACCUGAUGGUGAAAGCGGGGGAUCUUCGGACCUCGCGCUAUUUGAGCGGCCGAUGGCAGAUUAGCUAGUUGGUGGGGUAAAGGCCUACCAAGGCGACGAUCUGUAGCUGGUCUGAGAGGACGACCAGCCACACUGGGACUGAGACACGGCCCAGACUCCUACGGGAGGCAGCAGUGGGGAAUUUUGGACAAUGGGCGAAAGCCUGAUCCAGCAAUGCCGCGUGUGUGAUGAAGGCCUUCGGGUUGUAAAGCACUUUUGGCGGGAACGAAAAGGACUGUGCCAAUACCACGGUUCGAUGACGGUACCCGCAGAAUAAGCACCGGCUAACUACGUG
rnacentral:rRNA from 1 species